UUUAUAAUAAGGGCUCAGAUUGUCAUGUUGGUGUGCCACAGUAUUCUAUGUGGCUGGUUUUAAGUUCAGUAAUUCCUCGGAAUUCCUUCCAUCUCUUCCCCCAGUUUCCCCUUUGAAAAACAAACUUUGUCAACGGGGGGUUCUGUUUUCACAGAUGAACUGCUCAGGGGACGCCACCGCAGACCGAAUCUCCGCCCAGUGCUAUGGAAAUGUGGAAGGUCGCCCUGUGGAGACUCUCCUGUCCCCGCAGACCUCAGUCAACAUUUCCAUCACCCGUUCUGGCUGCUCAACAAAUCUAAGUACCGUCCUCCACGUUCUCCGGGGUGAGGACGAACAGAAAGGAAGUCUUACUUUGUACCUAACUUGUCUCCCUGGUCUUAGUCUAAAGGCAUCUGUCCAGCACUCUAUAAAGGCAGUACAGACACUGGGAUUUCCCUCCCUCGGGACACUAAUUCUGAAUGUCUCAACUGCCCAUUUGCCUGGCGUGGAGGUUGGCCUGGAGCUGGGACGCUGUUAUUUCAGGGGGGAAUUGGGGAAGACCAAAGAAACAGAAGGGGAUGAGUCUACUUACGCUGUCAAUGUCACAAACUAUUGUCCUGCACUACAGGUAAGAAAACCACUAGGUUUUGUAAAAUACAGCUUAUGGAAACCUGAAUGAACUAAUAUGUUUAAGGUGUAAAUAUUGCUGUUACUUCUAACCGUUAUUCACCCUUGUCCAUGUUAACAAAACCUCCUUUGAAAUACAGUUUUCAGCCUGUUCAAAGGUCAUGCUGCAGCCCAUUAAUCACCAGCAGCAGGACAAAACAAUACCAUGGACGAUAAACAUCACAUUAACCAGCAUUAAUAUUACUGAGGACAUUUGUGGUACUGAUAGAAGUACCCAUAUACGAAGUGUAAAGUGUACAUGACAGCUCAAACAGCAUAUCAAGAAAUGCUGCAUAGGUUGGUGAUUGGUUAUUACAAGGAGGUAGUA
rnacentral:lncRNA from 1 species